UACGUAGGGGGCAAGCGUUGUCCGGAUUUAUUGGGCGUAAAGAGCGUGUAGGCGGCCAUGCAGGUCCGUUGUGAAAACUCGAGGCUCAACCUCGAGACGUCGAUGGAAACCGCACGGCUAGAGUCCGGAAGAGGAGAGUGGAAUUCCUGGAUGUAGCGGUGAAAUGACGCAGAUAUCAGGAAGAACACCCGUGGCGAAGGCGGCUCUCUGGGACGGUACUGACGCUGAAGACGCGAAAGCGUGGGGAGCGAACAGG
rnacentral:rRNA from 1 species